rnacentral:rRNA from 1 species
UUACCCUACGGGACGCAGCAGUGAGGAAUAUUGGUCAAUGGGCGCGAGCCUGAACCAGCCAAGUCGCGUGAGGGAAGACGGUCCUAUGGAUUGUAAACCUCUUUUGUCGGGGAGCAACGGGGUCCUUGCGAGGGCCCGAUGAGAGUACCCGGAGAAAAAGCAUCGGCUAACUCCGUGCCAGUAGCCGCGGUAAUACGGAGGAUGCGAGCGUUAUCCGGAUUUAUUGGGUUUAAAGGGUGCGUAGGCGGGCUGUUAAGUCAGCGGUCAAAUGUCGGGGCUCAACCCCGGCCUGCCGUUGAAACUGG